GACGAACGCUGGCGGCGUGCCUAAUACAUGCAAGUCGAACGCAGUGGGGACGGGUGAGUAACACGUGGGUAACCUCCCAUCAGAGGGGAUAACACUUGGAAACAGGUGCUAAACCGAUACUGAUGGAUGGACCCGCGGUGCAUUAGCUAGUUGGUGGGGUAACGGCUCACCAAGGCGACGAUCCGUAGCUGGUUUGAGAGGAGGACCAGCCACACUGGGACUGAGACACGGCCCAGACUCCUACGGGAGGCAGCAGUGGGGAAUUUUGGACAAUGGGGGAAAGUCUGAUCCAGCCAUGCCGCGUGAGUGAUGAAGGCUUUCGGGUCGUAAAGCACUGUUGUUAGGAAAGCGGUACCUGCAGAGUAAGCACCGGCUAACUACGUGCCAGCAGCCGCGGUAAUUC
rnacentral:rRNA from 1 species